CCUACGGGAGGCAGCAGUGAGGAAUAUUGGUCAAUGGGCGGGAGCCUGAACCAGCCAAGUCGCGUGAGGGAAGAAGGUACUGAGUAUUGUAAACCUCUUUUGCCAGAGGACAAAGGCGGCCACGGGUGGCCGUAAGAGGGUACCUGGAGAAAAAGCAUAGGCCAACUCCGUGCCAGCAGCCGCGGUAAUAUGGAGGAGGCGAUCGUUAUCCGGAUUGAUUGGGGUUAAAGGGUGCGUAGGCGGAAUGAUAAGUCAGCGGUAAAAUCGCGGGUGUCAACCUCGCUGCGCCGUUGAAACUGGCGUUCUUGAGUGGGCGAGAAGUAUGCGGAAUGCGUGGUGUAGCGGUGAAAUGCAUAGAUAUCACGCAGAACUCCGAUUGCGAAGGCAGCAUACCGGCGCCCAACUGACGCUGAAGCACGAAAGCGUGGGUAUCGAACAGGAUUAGAUACCCCGGUAGUC
rnacentral:rRNA from 1 species